UUAACAGGAUUAGAUACCCUGGUAGUCCAUGCCGUAAACGUUGGGCACUAGGUGUGGGGGACAUUCCACGUUUUCCGCGCCGUAGCUAACGCAUUAAGUGCCCCGCCUGGGGAGUACGGCCGCAAGGCUAAAACUCAAAGAAAUUGACGGGGGCCCGCACAAGCGGCGGAGCAUGCGGAUUAAUUCGAUGCAACGCGAGGAACCUUACCAAGGCUUGACAUGAACCGGAAAGGCGUAGAAAUACGUCCCCCACUUGUGGUCGGUUUACAGGUGGUGCAUGGUUGUCGUCAGCUCGUGUCGUGAGAUGUUGGGUUAAGUCCCGCAACGAGCGCAACCCUCGUUCUAUGUUGCCAGCACGUGAUGGUGGGGACUCAUAGGAGACUGCCGGGGUCAACUCGGAGGAAGGUGGGGAUGACG
rnacentral:rRNA from 1 species